CCCCAGCCCGGUUUUACUAGAUCUUAUCCUCAAGGAUCUCCUAAAAUUUGGCAGUGGGAAAGAUUUAGUGGGUUUAAGACAGAUUUCUGGAACCUCUCCAUAGAUAUUUUUAUUUUGUUGUUGAUGUCCUAUAAACUGUCUUUGAAUAAGGACUUUAGUUAGUGUACCCUACGCAGAGUGAUCCCUGAGAGUAGGUGAAUAAAUAAGGUGAAUACUACAAUUGCCCUGGCGGCACAUCAAGGAGAAGUUAAGGUGGAGCCUAGCAGGUCCCUUGAGCUAAAGAGCUAUAGCUGAGAGUCCAAAGUCAAAGACAGCUGAGAUUCUAGUACAGAGUACCAGAAAGCAGAAAAUUGCACAGAAGGAAUAUUUCAGACAUCUAUAGGGGCUGAGUACUGGUUAUCAUAUGCAUGUGGGAAAACUACCCAAAGCUGGAGAAAGAAUCUUCCAAAAGAGGUAGAGGUAACAGUACCUGGCACAUAAAAGUAGUGCCAGUUCCCACUAGCCAGAAUUAGAAACCUCAUGAUUUUCUGGGCAUUCAGUAGAGUAUACAAAAGGAUCCAUCUUAUCUCCUUAGUAGAGACUAUUUAGACCUAAUGUGAUUACCACUAUAGUCCUACCUAACGAAUCUUAAAAGUAAGACCCAAUGAUCUGUUUCCAAAUGACUGUGUUCCCAGAAUAAAGCUUUAAGAAUAUUUGUAGGAAUACAAAAAUAUAUGGUACCCAAUAAGGUAAAAUCAGAGUGCCUGGAAUUCAUCCAUAAUUAUCAGGCAUGCAAAGAAACAGGAAAAUAUGACUCCUAAUGAGAUGUCAAUCGGAAUUGACCCAGAACCAACAGAUAUUAGAAUUGGCAGACAAGGAUGUUAAAAAAUUAUAACUGUAUAUGUUCAAAAAGUUAGUAUACUAGUAGAUGGUAAUAUGAGAAUGAUGACAAUUCAUAAUUAUGUAAUUAACUAGUAGUUUCCUUUCACAACAUAGAUUUGCCACACACAGUAACAUAAGAUUUAAAGGUAAUUCUAUAGGUGUUUUGACUAAUUUCUGAGAAUACUGAUGAUUAGAUACAAACUAAGCCAUGGCUGUAAGUUAAGGGUAAAAAAGUAGUUCUAUGUGUGCCAUUUUGUUAACAUCCCUAGAGCAAGUAGGUAGCUUUAAAAAAAUGAAAAUCAUUUCCUUUCAUCUGGAAAACCAAACAUAGAAAAGAAUCAACACUUUAAAGAAAAAUGCAGAAAACCCCAUCUAUAAUUCUUCAUCAGUUCAUUCAUUCAUGUUUGUACAAAAAGAGAUUUAUAAAAAUCUAGGAAGAUGCAUGACCACAUGGUUUUCUCCCAAUAUGUAGGCUCUCUCCCCACAUUAUUGAUUGUUUCCUUUGCUGAGAAGAAGCUUUUUAAUUUUAAUUCAUCC
rnacentral:lncRNA from 1 species